rnacentral:rRNA from 1 species
AUUGAACGCUGGCGGCAGGCCUAACACAUGCAAGUCGAGCGGAUGACGGGAGCUUGCUCCUUGAUUCAGCGGCGGACGGGUGAGUAAUGCCUAGGAAUCUGCCUGGUAGUGGGGGACAACGUUUCGAAAGGAACGCUAAUACCGCAUACGUCCUACGGGAGAAAGCAGGGGACCUUCGGGCCUUGCGCUAUCAGAUGAGCCUAGGUCGGAUUAGCUAGUAGGUGAGGUAAUGGCUCACCUAGGCGACGAUCCGUAACUGGUCUGAGAGGAUGGCAAGUCACCCCGGAACUGAGACACGGCCCUGACUCCUACGGGAGGCAGCAGUGGGGAAUCUUGGACAAUGGGCGAAAGCCUGAUCCAGCCAUGCCGCGUGUGUGAAGAAGGGCUUCGGAUUGUAAAGCACUUUAAGUUGGGAGGAAGGGCAGUAAGCUAAUACCUUGCUGUUUUGACGUUACCGACAGAAUAAGCACCGGCUAACUCUGUGCCAGCCGCCGCGGUAAAAC